rnacentral:rRNA from 1 species
AGUGAACGCUGGCGGUAGGCCUAACACAUGCAAGUCGAACGGCAGCACAGUAAGAGCUUGCUCUUACGGGUGGCGAGUGGCGGACGGGUGAGGAAUACAUCGGAAUCUACUUUUUCGUGGGGGAUAACGUAGGGAAACUUACGCUAAUACCGCAUACGACCUACGGGUGAAAGCAGGGGAUCUUCGGACCUUGCGCGAUUGAAUGAGCCGAUGUGGGAUUAGCUAGUUGGCGGGGUGAAGGCCCACCAAGGCGACGAUCCGUAGCUGGUCUGAGAGGAUGAUACGCCACACUGGAACUGAGACACGGUCCAGACUACUACGGGAGGCAGCAGUGGGGAAUAUUGGACAAUGGGCGCAAGCCUGAUCCAGCCAUACCGAGUGGGUGAAGAAGGCCUUCGGGUUGUAAAGCCCUUUUGUUGGGAAAGAAAAGCAGCAGGUUAAUACCCCGCUGUUCUGACGGUACCCAAAGAAUAAGCACCGGCUAACUUCGUG